rnacentral:rRNA from 1 species
GAACGAACGCUGGCGGCAUGCCUAACACAUGGCAAGUCGAACGAGACCUUCGGGUCUAGUGGCGCACGGGUGCGUAACGCGUGGGAACCUGCCUUUAGGUUCGGAAUAACUCAGAGAAAUUUGAGCUAAUACCGGAUAAUGUCUUCGGACCAAAGAUUUAUCGCCUUUAGAUGGGCCCGCGUUGGAUUAGCUAGUUGGUGGGGUAAAGGCCUACCAAGGCGACGAUCCAUAGCUGGUCUGAGAGGAUGAUCAGCCACACUGGGACUGAGACACGGCCCAGACUCCUACGGGAGGCAGCAGUGGGGAAUAUUGGACAAUGGGCGAAAGCCUGAUCCAGCAAUGCCGCGUGAGUGAUGAAGGCCUUAGGGUUGUAAAGCUCUUUUACCCGAGAUGAUAAUGACAGUAUCGGGAGAAUAAGCUCCGGCUAACUCCGUG